UGGACAGCACUUUGUUCCUGGCUUUUGAUGCAUCCAGUUUUUUUUUCACGUCUUCAUGAUCUUUCUGAAGAGCGCUAUGUUCCCCGGUGAAUACAAGGACGUACAAGCAGCUCUGCAGAAUCCAGAACUCUGCACUGCCUUGCCCGUCGAAGUGACUCACCCUCUGUAAAUGUUAUGCUACUGCACGCCGCAGUCAGUGCUCACUUGGUGGCUGCACAAGAGGUCUGUGUGCUCAGGAAUCCAGAUGGUUCUAAGCAGAUGAACUGCGAAUCCGGAGGAGGUUUCUCUCCUGGGCUGACAAUUUCCGGGGAUCUGUAAAGGCCAACAUUUCCUCGUCGAUACUGUUCAUCGAUGCUCUGCUUUUGCUCUGACCCAACUGAUUCUCCAGCUCUCGAACCUAGGGGAAAGGAUGCAGAGACAUUCAGAGCUAAAGCAUGGCCUUCGCUGCGCAUGCAUCGCUACAGCUGAGGUCAGAGACAGCCCACUACACAUGAUCAAAUGGAGGAUCUGGCUUACGGCUUAGUGUCCUACCAUUUAUUUCUUGGUACUUGUACGUGUCUUUGACAACAAGAGGACUGAUGGCAUUUUACUUGUUCCCCAGAAAUAAUCAUUCCCUGACUGUGGGCACAUGGACAAGCAGAAGUUUACAAUGCACCCUCUUGAAAAGUCAUAAUUGUGAAAAACUAGGAACUUGAGCAAAUGCUCAGCAUUUUGCUUUCAGCUCUGAAUACCAUAAAGCUAAAGAAAAGGACCUGCGAUAGUAAUUCACCUUGCCUUGUAGCACAAGAAUCUGCUGGGCCCGUCCACGCCAGGUACCGGAGAAAGAAACCAUUCCAAAAAUGCCGGAACUGUCCUUACAGUGAAAUACGAACCUGUACUGCUGGUAGGGAGUAGCUGAUUGCUUGAUUUCUGAGUCACUGCCGCCAAGAGACUGGAUUUUUCCCAUGGCUGCCUGGAGCUGGAGAAGACCAAAGCAAACACCCAUUAGAGAGUACAUGCAGUGAACAAAGCAUAUUUCCAUGGCAGAUGAUUCAGCUAUAUUUUAAUGAGUAAACAGCAAGUGUAACACCACCCGCCUUGAUGGGCUAAAUGGAUUUUAUUUAUUCCAACAAAAAUGUCUUCAUCUACCGCUAAGUUUUCAAAUAAAUAUGCCCGCGGUUCUAUCUUUGCUGAGACAGGCUGGGUUAUUUUACUGUGAAAAGAAUAGCUAGCUUUUGGCUUGGAUUCGUGGGAUUAGUUGGCAAACCUCGAGGGAUGUUUCCAAUGGGACAACGUUCACAAAACAGGCAUCUAUGUUUUUGCCUCUAAACAUAGAUAAAGUCCAAUGAAGAUCAGGAUUUGACAUACUUUUAAGGCUCCCAUAUUUGACCCUGUUUAGCAAAACAUAGAUUUUGAAGUCCAAUCCCCCCAUUUCACAGAAAAAUCUUGCAGUGUACGCUGAAAGAUGUGCUAGCUCAAUGACUCCAAAGACAUUUUAAGAUGAAAACCUGCAGCUUCACCCCCUGGCUGAGGCUCUGGCAUCAUUCUGAAAUCCCUCUUCUGUAGCUUGGCUAGAGCUAAAGGGCUUAAUUCUGUUUUCAGUCUCUGAAAGCAGGUGAUAGUUGGCACCGUUCACUAAUUAUUCCUGCUUGCUGGAGUGCAGAACUCCUCUCAUCUAAUCUAAUUCCCUCCUGCCUACCGAGGGGAGAGCUAUGGACAACAAAUUGCAAGGGGAAACACAAUCAGAGUGCAAAAUGAAGGGGCGAAGUGAAAACUGUAUGAUCCCACCAGGAUUAGCUUAUUAUCUUGAUUAUCUGCUGGAUGAAUUGAGACCUGUGGGAAACCUUUUAGGAAGGGUGAUGUAGGCAGUAGGAUAGCCUACAGAACUGAGCAUUAGGUAGGAGAUGAGAAUCCCAGGUCUACCACUAAACUGCUGUGGGGUUCGGGUAAAUCACUCACCUCUCUGUGCUUUCACUUCCCUCCCACCCUUUGCUUGGCCCUCCUAUUUACACUGGAAGCUGUUACGCGUGUAGACUGCAUCCGACUGUGCACACGAGCAGAAUAUAGUAUAGUGGGGCCCUAAGCCCUGACUGGCACUUCUGUGAUGACGAUAAAUGUAGAGGUUGGGAUACAGACUGCCAGAUAACUGAGAAAAGAUCAUUACAACACUGCUGUUGUGAUUGCCAGGGACAAGCAGCUGCGUUCUCAGAUACAUAUUUGUAUUUCUGAUUAUUUCAUUUCUACCCAGGAAAACUUUUACAAUCUUUUCUCCAAUGCCGGAUGAAGGGUGUUUGUGCCUGAAAGCUUGCAAUUAAAGACUUUUUUUUUUUUUUGCAAAAAUCCUGUGGGUCUAAUAAAUCUCUACUACAACUCCC